rnacentral:lncRNA from 1 species
UCGAUCACCACAAGAUAAUAAUAAUAAACACAUUAUUAUUAUUAAUUUAAAUUUUGUUAAUUAAAUAAACCAAAUUAAAUUUCGGCGACCGAUCAGACUACGCAGAGUUAGCCGGGGGUUCCGCUACCCGGCCAGCGGACGUUUUUCGCAAAAUUUUAAUGAACAAUUCAUUUGAAAUCGACGUUGUUUUUCGCAUCAACACUUGAUACUUUAAAGCACAACUCUUGCGCAGUCACAACCCUAAUC